rnacentral:rRNA from 1 species
CUACGGGGCGCACCAGUGGGGAAUAUUGCACAAUGGAGGAAACUCUGAUGCAGCAACGCCGCGUGGAGGAUGACACUUUUCGGAGCGUAAACUCCUUUUAUAUAGGAAGAAGAUGACGGUACUAUAUGAAUAAGCGCCGGCUAACUCCGUGCCAGCAGCCGCGGUAAUACGGAGGGCGCAAGCGUUACUCGGAAUCACUGGGCGUAAAGAGCGUGUAGGCGGAUUAAAAAGUCAGAAGUGAAAUCCUAUAGCUUAACUAUAGAACUGCUUCUGAAACUCUUAAUCUAGAAUAUGGGAGAGGUAGAUGGAAUUUCUGGUGUAGGGGUAAAAUCCGUAGAGAUCAGAAGGAAUACCGAUUGCGAAGGCGAUCUACUAGAACAUUAUUGACGCUGAGACGCGAAAGCGUGGGGAGCAAACAGGAUUAGAUACCCCAGUAGUC